rnacentral:rRNA from 1 species
GACGAACGCUGGCGGCGUGCUUAACACAUGCAAGUCGAACGAAGUGGCGUACGUGUUAGUAACGCGUAAUCAACCUGCCCUUCGGUGGGGGACAACAGUUGGAAACGACUGCUAAUACCUCAUACUGAAGGAGGGGAUUGCGUCUGAUUAGCUAGUUGGGGGGGGAACGGCCCACCAAGGCGAUGAUAAGUAGACGGGCUGAGAGGUGGAACGGCCAAAUUGGGACUGGGACACGGCCCAGACUCCUACGGGAGGCAGCAGUGGGGAAACUUCCGCAAUGGACGAAAGUCUGACGGAGCAACGCCGCGUGAGUGAUGACGGCCUUCGGGUUGUAAAGCUCUGUUAAUCGGGACGCGGUACCGGAAUAGAAAGCCACGGCUAACUACGUGCCAGCAGCCGCGGUAAUAC